rnacentral:rRNA from 1 species
AAGUUACAUGCUGUAGACCCGAAACCGUGUGAUCUACCCAUGGCCAGGGUGAAGGUGGGGUAAAACCUACUGGAGGCCCGAACUCACUGUCGUUGAAAAGGCAGGGGAUGAGCUGUGGGUAGGGGUGAAAUGCCAAUCGAACACGGAGAUAGCUGGUUCUCCCCGAAAUAGCUUUAGGGCUAGCCUCAAUUGAUGAUCGAUGGCGGUAGAGCACUGAAUAGGCUAGGGGCCUUACCAGGUUACCGAACCUUAUCAAACUCCGAAUGCCAUCAGAUUUAGAUUGGGAGUCAGACUGUGGGGGAUAAGCUUCAUAGUCGAAAGGGAAACAGCCCAGACCAUCAGCUAAGGUCCCCAAGUAUACACUAAGUGGGAAAGGAUGUGGAAUUGCACAGACAACCAGGAUGUUGGCUCAGAAGCAGCCACCAUUUAAAGAGUGCGUAAUAGCUCACUGGUCGAGUGGUUCUGCGCCGAAAAUGUAACGGGGCUCAAGUGUAUCACCGAAGCUAUGGCUUGCAGUUUACUGCAGGGGUAGGGGAGCGUUCUAUCAGCAGAGAAGUCAGACUGUAAGGUCUGGUGGAGUGGAUAGAAGUGAGAAUGCCGGUAUGAGUAUGCGAAAAGGAAGGUGAGAAUCCUUCCCGCCGAAAAUCUAAGGAUUCCUGGGGAAGGCUCGUCCGCCCAGGGUAAGUCGGGACCUAAGCCGAGGCCGAAAGGCGUAGGUGAUGGACAACUGGUUGAGAUUCCAGUACCACCUAGAAAUGUUUGAGCAAUGGGGUGACACAGAAGGAUAGGUUAAGCCAACCGUUGGUAGAGUUGGCCCAAGCGAUGAAGGAGGUAGGGUAGGCAAAUCCGCCCUGCGAUACUCUGAGACGUGAUGGGGAGCGAAAGUUAGUAGCGAAGUAACCGACUCCAAGCUGUCAAGAAAAACCUCUAGUGAGUGACUAGGUGCCCGUACCGUAAACCGACACAGGUAGAUGGGGUGAGAAUCCUAAGGCGCGCGAGAAAACCCUCGUUAAGGAACUCGGCAAAAUAGCCCCGUAACUUCGGGAGAAGGGGCGCUCUUCGAAAGAAGAGCCGCAGAGAAAUGGUCCAGGCGACUGUUUAACAAAAACACAGGUCCCUGCUAAUCCGAAAGGAGAUGUAUAGGGGCUGACACCUGCCCGGUGCUGGAAGGUUAAGAGGAGAGGUUAGCCG